GGCCCGUCCCCUCCCCGCCACGCCCGCCUACCCGCUGCUCCCGCCGCUGCUCCGCACGGCUUGCCAGUCCCAGCUGCUUCGGGAGGCCGCGGCCUGGAGGACGCCGGGGGAAGGCCAUGCGGUUUUUUGCUUUGAAAAGUGCUUGCUGUGAGGUAAUAAAUGAGUUCCUGCUUGA